UCAUUCACGCAUUGAAAUUAGAGAGCAGACGAUAUUGAGUUUUUUUAGGGGAGAUAAUUACGUCGUUCGUAAUCAGACAACAAUGCCUUCAGCUGACUAUUUUAAGGAGUUUGUCAACGAGCGACUAGCUGCUGCUGCUGAAGAAAUAUUCGGAGUUUUUAUAAAAACUAUCGUCGAGUACAAGGAAGAGAUAGACCGCCAGCGCAGACUGUUGGAUAUCGCUUGGAAACCAGAAAUAAAGUUACACAGGAUAGAGCUCCCACAGCAACACUUCUGUAAGGAGGAGGAGGUUCCUGCUGACCAGCAGCUCUGUAUUCAGGAGAGGAACUCCAGUCUGGACCAAGAGGACCCAGAGCCUCCACAAGUUAAAGAGGAACCAGAGGAACUCAGCAUCAGUCAGGAGGGAGAGCAGCUUGUAGUGAAGCAGGAGACUCCUACUUAUGAGGAAAGUGACCUCAGUGAAGAUCAGACUAUGUACUUGAAACCUGAUGACACUUUAAGUUCAGUGGAGACAGAGUCUGGAUUCAUCAUACCAGUUAUAAUCUCUGAGUUACAUGAAGCAACCAGUGACCACCAGCUCCUCUCUGAUGUUCAAGCAGAGCCAAAACAAAACACCAGAACAGAACCCCAUGAAAAUGACCACAGUGAAGUUCAGACUGGAGCAGAGCCAAAACAACAGGAAACCAGAAGUCACAUUAACAAUUCAAGCAGCCCUAACCUGUCAGAGGAUAACUGUAAUACUGACAAAGAUAAAAAACCUUUCAAAUGUGACACAUGUGGAAAAGAGUUUAAGAUUAAGUCACGAUUGAACAGACACCUAAAGACCCACACAGGUGAGAAGCCAUAUGCUUGCAAUACUUGCGGGAAAAGAUUGGCUGACUGUUCAUCAUACAAAAAACAUAUGAGAAUCCACACAGGUGAAAAGCCGUUUGAAUGUAAAAUUUGUGGGUUAGGUUUCCGCCAGAGUGGUAAUUUGACAAGCCACAUGUCAAUCCACACAGGUGAGAGUCGGUUUCCUUGUAAAGUUUGUGGGAAAGCUUUUGGACGUAAAGAUUACUUGAAUAAGCACAUGGUUAGAUUCCACAUUCUUUCAAAAUUAGAAAAAGUUUCAAAAUGAGUCAUGACCUGAAUAUCCCAUGAGAAGCCAAAACAGUUGAGAAGCUGUCGACUCGUGAGACAUUCGGGAUCACUUUACAGGUUAAGAUGGACUUAAAAUCUAGUAUGAUAGUUCUAUAUGAAGCUUCCUAAACAUUUUUACGUAAAGUCAGAUUUUGAGGUUUAACAACCUCAUUUAUAUACCUGGCCACAUUUUUUGAAUUUCCUUAAAAUUAUGUGCUGUAUUUUAUAGUCAAUGGUGUUACAGCUCGCCUGUGCAAAAAAACAAAAAUGAGUGAAGUAAAAAUAA